UGAUGCAGCCAUGCCGCGUGUAUGAAGAAGGCCUUCGGGUUGUAAAGUACUUUCAGCGGGGAGGAAGGCAGUAAAGUUAAUACCUUUGCUCAUUGACGUUACCCGCAGAAGAAGCACCGGCUAACUCGGUGCCAGCAGCCGCGGUAAUACGGAGGGUGCAAGCGUUAAUCGGAAUUACUGGGCGUAAAGCGCACGCAGGCGCUUUGUUAAGUCAGAUGUGAAAUCCCCGGGCUCAACCUGGGAACU
rnacentral:rRNA from 1 species